rnacentral:lncRNA from 1 species
CGAGAAACCAAAGAGAAGUAUGAGCUGCUGUUGGUGGUAUCUGACAACGGAGUACCUCAGAGGCAGAAUUUCACGUAUGUCAGCAUUCAAGUACUGGAUGUAAAUGACAACCCUCCUCAGUUUAUGAAAGCACAGUACUCAGCCACUGUACUUGUAGCAACGGCAAAAGAAGGAGUUUCUGUACUGUCAGUGUCUGCUACUGACCUUGACCUUGGGAACAAUUCUGUUAUUUCAUACAGUACAGUUACCUGCAGGAAUUUGCAGAACACUAGGAAUUAGCAGGACUGCAGUCUUCAAAUGAAUGUCACCUGCAUUUCUUAUAUCACUGAACUAUGAGCAGCUGAGAGUGCAG